rnacentral:piRNA from 1 species
UCUGACCUUCACACCUACACCGU